rnacentral:rRNA from 2 species
CCUAGCGAUGAUGAAGACAGGGGAAAUACCCGUUCCCAUCCCGAACACGGAAGUGAAGUCCUGUCUUGCCAAUGGUACUGCAGUAAUGUGGGAGAGUAGGUUAUCGCUAGGU